CAGCGUUUGUCGUGAUCACAAGCUCGUACUCGUGGCCUUGUUCCACAUCAACGAGUUCCACGGGCUCUUCACGAGAAGCUUUCUCCUCCGAUCGAGCCACCGGCAGAAACUCGUAGUAGGACGUCUCGGGCAGAAACAUGUAGGAGAUCUGGGACGGAUCGCAAAGCGGCUUGAGAUUCACUCCAAAGAAAGACUCCGAGGACGCGUAGAUCAUGGAUGCUAUUGGCAGGCCGUCGGUGAGAUAGUCGACUUCUCCAACAUACUGCUCCAUAGCACCGGUGACGACUGUGUCGAUAGCUUUGGCACUGGGCCACAGCUUCCGGACGAUUCCUUUCAAGCUUCCACUCAAGCACGCCUCGUCGAUCACGUUCGCAAGCUCUGGAUCCGGCCUUAAGAUCUUCUCCACGGCUUCUCUGCAAGCCGGAUCCACAACUCUCUCGGACAAAGUUCCCGUUCGUAUGUCCCUGGAAAGCUCCUGCCACCAGGCUUCGAGGCACCUUAUCGACCUCACGAGCGCCGACGCAAAGAAGCAGCCCAGCUUCGUCACGUCUCGGGCGUGGAUCAAACCACACAGCAAGUGGCAGUAGGAGGCUUGCACGCUGUCCGUGCAAAGUAUCACCUCCAGGGGGCUUGUAUAAUCGUUGCUUGGAUCGAAAAGCCAGUUGCGGAACUCUGGACUGUUGUAGUAUCCCGUCAGUGCUGGAUAAGCUGGAAGUCCUCCAGGAGUCUUGCGGCCACUUCUCACGUAUAAGAAGUACAAAGCUUUGCCGGUCCUCAGUCCAGGCAAGUCCCUACAGAUUCGAAGGAACAAACAAUCAUAAGCUUUGGAGGAAAAUGACGACGAAUACCUGUUGAGCAGAGCGGUGGCAAGAUCAAAGAAGUAAUCCGACACAGCAUAGUGUCCCUCCGCUUUCGGGAACAGCUUGUGAGCCCCGCCGGAGGUCCCAGAGCUGCCAAAAGAUCUUUGCAAAAUCGACAAACUAGAGAUAAACUUACCUCGUGAACAUAUCCGUGAUAGGAUUCGCAGAGAGCAAAGUAGAGGCCUCGCCGUCGGCAAUUCGAUUGAUCUCAUCCUUGAUGUCUUCGUACUCAAUGACCGGCGCUCUCUGCCGAAACACCUCCUUGGUUGCUGCUCGCAAUCCAUGCCUAUUGAAGUAGUCUGUGGCGGCAUUCUUCUCCAGGAUCUCGGCCAGAACUUUAUCCUGAGCCUCACCGGGACUCCAGCUCGAGCUCUCGAGCUUCUCAAGCAGGAGCUGCUCGUUCUCCAUCGUCUAAACCCGGAAAGGCACAAGAGGUAAGAAAUAAAAGAAGAGUCAAAUAUACCUCCGUUUGCAAGUGUUAAAUCAGCACGUUUCUACUAACAUAGUAAAAUACAAUACACACCAGAAGCUUUUGAAACAAUCACAAUGUCUGCUUGAAUUAUUGCUAUGUGAAAAGAAGAAAGAAAAAAACGAAGCACAGACUUCGUUUGGAAGUGUUAAAUCAGCACGUUUCUACUAACAUAGUAAAAUACAAUACACACCAGAAGCUUUUGAAACAAUCACAAUGUCUGCUUGAAUUAUUGCUAUGGGAAAAGAAGAAAGAAAAAAACGAAGCACAGACCUCAUUUGGAAGUGUUAAAUCAGCAUGUUUCUACUAACAUAGUUAAAUACAAUACGCACCAGAAGCUUUUGAAACAAUCACUGCUUGAAUUAUUACAAUGUGAAAACAAAAGAAAAAUACGAAGCACAGACCUCGUUUGGUUUGAAGCAGAAACUUUUUUAUUCUCACCAGCCCGCACCCAAAGCUUUUAAAACGCAUCGACUGUUCUUGACACUGGCGACUUAAACUCGUCCCAGACCAGCUUCGCGCACUGAUGGUUGAGCGAAUCAAUCUGUUCUCCCGCUUCCCCUCCAGCACUAGAGCCGGAGCUUCGGUCUCCAACUAGUAGAGCAGGAGGACUAGAGCUUUUGCCUCCAGCAAUCGUCGAAGAAGCUCUAUUGUUGUCAUGAGAUAAGCAAAUCUCUGUCACCACCCCCGGACCGUUUGCAGCCAGCUUCGCCUGUGCUAGCCGGAUCCUCUCGGCGCGAGAGCCAAUCACCUGUCCCAGGAUGGAUGCCCCGAUAGUGAAAGCCAUAGCGAGCUUUGUCAUGUUGACAGCCUUUCUCAUCAUAGCAAUGAAUGGCACUGCUGCAUGGACCGCAACGAACCACUUCAGAGAGAACUUCUUUGUGUGUUCGCACCAGACCCCCAGCGGCAUGUUGGUUGCCAUCCCCAGGAGGCCGAUUGCCAGGAGUUUGGAUGGCAAUGGUUGAGGCCUCAAGUUCUUUGCGAACAGGGUGGCUUGAGUGGCGAUGAUAGCCGGUGGACACCGGUACUUCAUCCCUGAGGGUGGUUUGAACCACUUUGUGACGAGAGGUAGCACUCCAGAGCGUGCGAUUGGGCAGUUCCCAGUUGCCAGCCACUCGGAGCCAAGAGCUUCGUGAAGAUGGUCUUGAAAAUGUUUCAUUGAAUCAUCAGAAGGAAGAAGAAGGAAAAAAAAAAAAUUCAUGACAAUGACAGGAAAUGAAUGCAAAGUUACAGUAAUUUGAUGAAUCAAAACAAAGAAAUCACACCAUAGCAGUCCUAAGGAUUAUUGAAAUGGAAGAACCUGGUUAAUCGUAUUGCUUGGUGGGCUUUGAAAUUUUAGAUAUAUAAUUUUGAUGUUGUUCAUUGCCCAGGGAGUUUUAUGACUGAUGCUGAUACUCUUUCUUGAACUCCUCUUCCUUCUUCACUCUCUUCUCAUAUUUCUGAUGAGCUUGUUAUUCCAGCAUCUGUGAAUUUUUUAAACAAGGAUUCUGUACCGUCGACGGUUGUUAUACUUGACAUUUAAUGUCCACAAUGUGCAGAAUAAGAUCUACCUUCUCUUUGAUGAGGUUCGCGAGGCUCCAAAUAUUGAGCCAAAUAUCGUUCUUAGACGUUGUUACAAGGUAAUCAUGCUAUUAUUACAUCAUUAUUGAAGCGGAAGAACUUGGUUGAUCGUAUUGCUCGGUGGGCUUUGAAGAUUCAGAUAUAUAAUUUUGAUGUUGUUCAUUGCCCGGGGAGUUCUAUAGCUGAUGCUAAUUCCCUUUCUUGAGCUCUUCUUCCUUCUUCGCUUUCUUUUUAUGUUUUUAACGAGCUUGUUGUUCUAGCAUCUACAGAUUUUCUACACAAGAAUUCUGUGCUAUCAACAGUUGCUAUUCUUGAUGUUCAGUGUCCAUAAGAUACAAAGCAAGAUCUACCUUCUUUUGAUGAAGUUCGUGAGGCUCAAAAGAUUAAGUUGUGAAUUCGAAAGCUUCAAGAAGGGUUUGAGAAUCCUACAUCACUUGCUGACGACUUACCAUUCCGGCAUUUAAGUUCUUAAUAUCGCCUUAAAAACAACUUUUUUUAUUUUAUGGGGAUGGAUUUUGAUGAUCAUUUAUGGCUGGUGGUGCCUUCAAUGUUUAUUCCACGAUUUUUCCAUGCAUACUAUGAUUCUCCUAUUUUAGGUGGGCAUAUGGGACAUCAUCAUAUGACCAAGAAGCUGCACAGAUCUUUCUAUUAGCUAAAGAUGCGAUGUGAUGUUAUCCGGUAUAUGUAUAAAUGCGUUUAGUAUUAAGCACGUAAUACUCCCCUUUAUACUGCAGAAGGAUGAUUGGAGUCAAUUGCAGUUUCCCAUUCGUUUGAGUUGGUGGCAUUUGAUCUUAUAGGACCUUUUCCAUGAUCGACUUUUGGUAGUGAGUAUGUUAUUAUUGCUUCUAACUACUUGACUUGUUAGGUGAAAAUUGGUGCUCUUGCUAGUGCCUCUGGAACUACUGUUAGAUACUUCCUCCUUAAUGAAGUGGUGUUCUAGCAUUCUUCUCCGGAGCGGAUUCUUUCGGUAAUGGUCCCAUAUUUAUAGUUAAGGCAUUUCAUGUUUUGACAUCUUGGUUGGGAAUACACCACACUUUCAUGAGUGUUUAUUAUCCAUAGUCAGACGGUUUAGUGGAAUGGCUUGUUCAAACAUUCAAAGGGAUGAUCGUUAAGUAUAUGAACUUUCAGCAUUCGGAUUGGGAUGGUUAUUUACUGUUUUUUCAAUAUACAUAUGUCACAAGGGUGCAAAAUUAUAUUGGUGUUUCACUAUAUAAACUCCUAUAUGGUCAUGAUCCAAUAUUACCAACGGAGUUGGGUUUACCUUUGCAAUUGCCACGAGCUACCGAUGCUAGGUCGUGGGAUCAGUUUUUGAUGAGCAUUCUUCCACUUGUCCAAAUAGAGUCUACUAAAUACCUAAGCCACAUACAAGUGGGACAAUAACGACACUACAAUUCACAUCAUUGUUCACCUACAGAGUACAAAGUGGAUGACUUGGUGUUAGUCUAUUUUCCCCAUCUUAUGAUACAUAGUUUAUCUAAAAGGCUCCUUGCUUAGUGAAAAGGGCCAUAUCAAGUAUUGUGGCAAGUUAGACCACACGUUUAUGAGAUAUGGCAUAAUGUCAAGUAAGUUAAUCCUCCAAAAAUUGUGCAUGUGCAACAGUUGAAAUAUUUUGUACAAAGGGAUUAGGAAUAACUGAUACCAUCUACAAAUCCACCAAUGCCUCCUGUUGAUGGUAGGGAUGAUAUGAGAUUCAAGUGUAUGGUUACAAUGCCGUAUAUUAUAAUUAGCAUAGUGGGAUUUUAGUAGCUGUUGGAUUGGUUUUAAUUUGGACCACUCACUCCUAUAUAUAAACUAGGGUUUUUGAGCUAAUAGAUAUGCAUAAUUUUAUUAUUCCCUAGACAUAAUACUUGGUUUUUAGAUGGGUUAUUUAAAUAUUUUAAACUAAGUCAUUUACUACCUGAUAUAUAUCAUUUUAUUUUGUUUCCUAUUCAAAUUCUAUAUAAAAAGUUAACUUAUGAGAUUUAUUUAAAGAUACACAGCUUUAUAACAAAUAAAGGUACUAUACUGAAUUAUAUUAGUGGCAUUGUGACAGCUACAAUUUUAUAGAUGCUUAUUCAAAAUCAAUAUACUAAAUAAAGGUUAAAAAUGUAGAAAAAAUAGCAAAUAAAGUGGGAUUUUAAGCAUUUGAAUUUCAGUGUAUUACUCUGAACUCUCUUGUUAGUGUUUUCUAAGUUAAGGUGAUGAAACUAUUGAUCAUAUAUUCUACUGACGCUUGACAACAGUUGUGUGCUAUGCAGUUUAUAGUACGAUAGUUGCUAGCACUUGAGUAUAAUAAUAAAAUUUGCUGUAAUUUUUAGAGUUUUUACGAUCAAACAAUCAAAAUAAUAUUAAUACUCCGGUGCUCUUGGACUGAAGUACUGCUGGUAUACACCACUCUCCACGAUUUCCAGCAUCCUGGUCGCAUUUUUCUUGAUACACCUUGGCAGCUUGAAUUGAGAAACACUUCCACCCCUGGAUGCGGCAUCAUCAGCGAUUCGAUUGAAAGUCCCUGGUGUCACAAGCCUCAUCUCCAGAGCUCCAAUGGAUCUCUCCAUCCUCCCCCUGUGAUACACCACGCUCAGUGAUUCUUCCAUCUUGUAGCAGCACUCUCCUGCCUUUUCCGGUUCCAAGUGAAGCGCGCUGGACAGCUCCCAGUAAAUCACGUAGUGCGGAGGAUUGGAGGAGAGGUCGGCAUAGCUGGUGUAGUCCGUCAAUCUUAUUGCCUCCCCCUCCUUGCUCGUGACGCCAUUUCGCAAUGCCGCAAACGCGUUCAUGACUGCGGUCUGGAGCUCCUUCUCGUCCGUUUUGUCCGAGUCGAUGCUAAGUAGAACGUUCCUCCGGCAGACGAAGCUGAAGAGCGGAGCUUUGUUGUGGAAGCCCUCGACUCUAAGAACGUCACCCAUGCGAUAUCUGUACAAUCCUGAUGGAAAGAGCCAGAAAAGAUAAAGAUACAAGCCAAGACAAUGAACUGGAAACUAUACCAGCGUUUGUCGUGAUCACAAGCUCGUACUCGUGGCCUUGUUCCACAUCAACGAGUUCCACGGGCUCUUCACGAGAAACUUUCUCCUCCGAUCGAGCCACCGGCAGAAACUCGUAGUAGGAGGUCUCGGGCAGAAACAUGUAGGAGAUCUGGGACGGCUCGCAAAGCGGCUUGAGAUUCACUCCAAAGAAAGACUCCGAGGACGCGUAGAUCAUCGACGCUAUUGGCAGGCCGUCGGUGAGAU
rnacentral:lncRNA from 1 species